GAUGAACGCUGGCGGCGUGCCUAAUACAUGCAAGUCGAGCGAACGGACGAGAAGCUUGCUUCUCUGAUGUUAGCGGCGGACGGGUGAGUAACACGUGGAUAACCUACCUAUAAGACUGGGAUAACUUCGGGAAACCGGAACUAAUACCGGAUGAUAUUUUGAACCGCAUGGUUCAAAAGUGAAAGACGGUCUUGCUGUCACUUAUAGAUGGAUCCGCGCUGCAUUAGCUAGUUGGUUAGGUAACGGCUUACCAAGGCAACGAUGCAUAGCCGACCUGAGAGGGUGAUCGGCCACACUGGAACUGAGACACGGUCCAGACUCCUACGGGAGGCAGCAGUAGGGAAUCUUCCGCAAUGGGCGAAAGCCUGACGGAGCAACGCCGCGUGAGUGAUGAAGGUCUUCGGAUCGUAAAACUCUGUUAUUAGGGAAGAACAUAUGUGUAAGUAACUGUGCACAUCUUGACGGUACCUAAUCAGAAAGCCACGGCUAACUACGU
rnacentral:rRNA from 1 species